rnacentral:misc_RNA from 1 species
AACGCACAUUGCGCCCCCUGGUAUUCCGGGGGGCAUGCCUGUUCGAGCGUCAUUACAACCCUCAAGCUCUGCUUGGUAUUGGGCCCCGCCGGUUCUGGCGGGCCUUAAAGUCAGUGGCGGUGCCGCCCGGCUCCGAGCGUAGUAAUUCUUCUCGCUCUGGAGGCCCGGGUGUGUGCUAGCCAGCAACCCCCAAUUUUUUCAGGUUGACCUCGGAUCAGGUAGGGAUACCCGCUGAACUUAA